GCCUCGAUGGUGUAGUCCGGCGAUCAUCAGGGACUGUCAAUCCCUGGACCCGGGUCCAAAUCCCGGUCGGGGCGCCA
rnacentral:tRNA from 1 species